UUCGAAUUCUUCCUCUUUCCGGCCACAAUUUCGUUAAUUUCUUUUCUAACAUUUUUGAAUUCAGAGAAAAGUGGAAAAUUGAAUUUUCUACUGUAUAGCUGCUGCAGUUCCAUGUAUUUCUGGAAAACAGAUGGUACAAGGGUGGGUUUAAGGAAAGGGUAAUUUAGUAGACAAAUAUUUUUUUACAAAAUUUAUAUAAAUAUAAAUUAUCUUUUAAUACAUCAAGUCAAACAUAACUAAUACUAACAUUACUAAUACUUAUAUUAAUAAUAUAAACAUUACAAAUACACCCUAUUUAAUAUUUAAUAUUAUUCUUAUACACUCUCCCAAACGACCCCGAGAAAACAACAUAUCACGUUUGCAAAUAGCCUCUCUUGAAACAAAGGGGUACUCUACAGAUUAAAGGGGGCGAAAAUAUAUAAUUUCCAGCGAACGAACAACACCAUCACGAUCAAACGUGCAUCAUACACCUUCAAAUCCAUUUUUCGGCACGAACGACAACUCAAGCUAGACGGAAAAUUAUAUACAGGAAUCCAUCUUCCAAAAUCAAUUAGGAUUUAAUUGGAACUUAACUGCAAACCCAUUUUAGAACCAAAAUCAUCUUUAUGCUCUAAGGUGAAACGUCCAUAACAAAUUUUCUGAAUGAAUCAUAAUUGCACGUUCAUAGAUCGAUGAGAUAAAAAUACAUAUAUGAAACAGACGAAGAACAAAAUCAAAAGGAGAAAAUCGCACCUUUUUCGGUGUAGCCAACUCGGGCUUCCGGUUAAGGAUUUUUCGGUGACAAACUCAACUCUGGGACUCGCAAUUCCUCCAUGGACCAAAAAAUGGAGAAAGAGAAAAAAGACAGUGAAUCCCAGCAACUUCAAUGCCUCCCUUUUUUAGCUUUCCCAACCCAUUUUUUCUCCAAUCUCGGCCCUUUUCCGGCCUUCUUUUACUCGAUUUCCUCCGCCUCUCCUCACGAGAUUUCUUUUUUUUUUCUUCAGACCCCUUUUUUGAUUCCCAAGAAAAAACCCGACCUCUGUUCAUACGAAUUGAACAAUGCGACCAUUUAUAGGUAAAUCUAGACUUGAAAGUCCGGAUUUGAAACUACAAAUUCAAAGAAACCAAUGGGCGAAUCGGGAAAUUAGAAUUCAAAAUUGGAAAGGGACAGAUCCUUCCUCAAUUUGGACGAUUUCCAGAACCUUAAUGCAGAUUUGAAUCAAAUUUUCCUUGUAUCACUAAUUUGGGGCUGACUUUUAUCUGAUUUUCGGACUCACAGGUUGGACUUGGCUGAGAAGGGGCGAAUAUUGUGCAGCGAUGGCAGGGUUGCGACAGCUAUUGCCGCUAGCCUCUCUGAUUUGGAUGAGAGAGAGGAGGUGGGAAGAGAAAGGGGAGCAUUGUUGUCGCUGAUUUUAGGUAUCUGGAUAGAGACCCUUCGACUAUUUUCCGGGGAGGCGAGAAUACGCGUGAACCAAAUAUUGGGAGUGACAAAGAGCACCUGUUUAUUUUGACUGAAAUGUGGAUCAGGUUUAAUAUAAGAAUAAAGAAAAAUUAAAGAGAAAAAGCUUUUUUUC
rnacentral:lncRNA from 1 species